CUCCCUCCCUCUCUCCACCAUAUCACCAAGUACCUAUUCUUACCAGCCUGCUGUCUGCACUUCAUUUUCAUAACAGCUCAGUGGAAUGUGCUCAUGCCUUUGUUUGUCCCUCUUCAGAGAAAGGGAAAUUGCUACACAAAGACAAAAAUCCCCAGGAAGAAAUAAGCAGCAUCCCUCUCGAUGACCCCUGUGCCUAGAAUAUAGCAGACUCGUAAACACUUAUGAAAGGAAACUCAGUGUGACUUUUAGAUUGAAUUCUAAUUUCAAGACAACUCCUCAAACAAUUCGCCACAGAACAGACCAUUAGAGUUAUGUGAUAAGAUACCAUGAUCAGAAACAAUUUACAGAAAGAAGAGUCUUGGGUUCCAGAGAGAGUCCAUGAUGUCUGAGAGAGGCUUGGCAACAUGGGCCCAGAAAAGGAAGCUGAGAGAUUACAUCUUCAACUGCAAGCAUGGUACAGAGAGCAAACUGGAAGUGCAUUGAGGCUGUGAACUCUCGGAGACCUCCUAAAACGAUUUCCAUCCUCCAGCAAGGCCAUAAAUACCACAUCCCUCAUCAUGUCGUCAAAUGGGAAUCAAGUGCUUCAAUACAAAAGCCUAUGGAGGACAUUCAUAUUUAAACCACUGUAUUCAACAUGCCCAGAGCCUUCUUUAUUAGCUGCUUUCUAGAACUGCCACACUAUUGUUCACACACACACACACACACACACACACACACACACACACACACACCACAAUGUGUCUAUAUAUAUACAUGAAAGAGAAAACACUGUAAGACGGUUCUGGGGAUGGUGACACCUUCCUUUAAUUCCAGCACUUGGGAGGUAGAGGCAGGCAGCUCUCUGAGUUCAAGACUAUCCUGGUCUAUAUCCAGGACACCCAGGACUAUACAAAAAAAAAAAAAAAAAGAGGGAGUAGGGAGAGGUGAGGAGAGAACACAUUUAAAAGCCUUGAUUAAACAAUUUAGUUUCCUAAGUACAGUUUUCUAGUUUUAAUUAAUAUACAAAAAACAGACUAUCAAAAGUGGGUACAUUUAUAUCUGAUUUUCCAUCAGCACCAUAUAAAUGUUUUCAUCAUGUAUAGCAGGACUGCUUAUUUGAUACCCAAGUAGACACAGCUAAUGAGUGUAGAUAGAUAGAUAGAUAGAUAGAUAGAUAGAUAGAUAGGCAGAUAGAUAGAUAGAUAGAUAGAUAGAUAGAUAGAUAGAUAGAUAGAUAGAUAGAUAGGCAGGCAGGCAGGCAGGCAGGCAGGCAGGCAGGCAGGCAGGCAGGCAGAUAGAUAGAUAGAGAUAGGCAGAUAGAUAGGCAGAUAGAUAGAUAGAUAGAUAGAUAGAUAGAUAGAUAGAUAGAUAGAUAGGCAGAUAGAUAGAUAGAUAGAUAGAUAGAUAGAUAGAUAGAUAGAUAGAUAGAUAGAUAGGCAGGCAGGCAGGCAGGCAGGCAGGCAGGCAGGCAGAUAGAUAGAUAGAGAUAGGCAGAUAGAUAGGCAGAUAGAUAGAUAGAUAGAUAGAUAGAUAGAUAGAUAGAUAGAUAGAUAGAAAGAUAAUAGAUAGAUAGAUAGAUAGAUAGAUAGAUAGAUAGAUAGAUAGAUAGAUAGAUGUUUUUAGGACAUGCUGGUUUCUCUGAUGUAAGCUGUUUAUGAAUUUUUUUAAAAAAAAAAGAAUCUCAAUGCCUUCUUUUAAGGAACUUAUAUUCUCUCAGGCAUGAUAGGUUAAUGAAAUACAAUAGUCACAUCAGUAACAAUUAUUAGUGUACAACCAAUGACCUGCUCUUUGUGAAGGCUCUGAAGAAACAGAAUAUCAAGGCUUCCCAGAGAAGGAGAGCAACAUAGCUGAUGGUGGAGCAUGAGCAGGAGACACCACUCACUGCUAGGCAAAUUGCUAUCAAACAGAAGGAUGGUAUGCCCAAUGGCCAACAGCGAGACUCACCCAGUGAGCUACAGAAUCCAUGGCUGUGAUGUGCACUAGGGUAAUUAGGGGUCCAUAGAAGAGAGACAAACUACAGGACAUAUGGACUUGAGAAAUGACACUUCUUUAUGAAUGUUGUUGAAAGCCAUUAAGGAAGAAAUCAGAGUGUGACAUAAACAGAUUCAUGUCUUGGUUAAUAACUCAGUGUUGCUCAUUGAGAAAAUACUGGUGCCACAAUCAGAGACUAUCCGACUUUGGCAUCCAAAGUAAAUCUCCCCUGCAUGUGCUCAGGCAAUACCCACACCUUCCUACUUUCGUUAUAGGUAACAAACUGACACAGACUGGGUUCAAGAAGAUGAGCUAUGGGGCUGGGGUAAUAAUUCAAGCAUGUGAUGUGGUCCUUAGCAAGGGUGGCGUGGUUCUAGGAGCUUGUCAUUUCCACUGAGAAUUAAAGUUCUGUUUAGUUUCCUGCUGA
rnacentral:lncRNA from 1 species